UAGAUCAGCUCUUCCCAUCAGUCGCCUGAUUGUUUUUUUUUUAAUUUUCUACACAAAACAAAACAAAAAUUACUUUCCAAAACUCUUCAAUCCAAACCAUAUUUUAUGCGCAACACUCAUCCCCAUUUGGAAAACCAAAACAUCUCCGUGGAAAUUCGGCCGAAUCAGUUGUGGGCUGGCUCUCAUGAGGAAUGUUGCUUUGUUCUCGUUUGCACGCCGCGCCAUCCAAAUUUUUCUUUUGUUUUUAUUUUGAGAUUCAAAUAUGGAUUUAUGUAUUCACACCGCAUAAUGUUUCAGAAAUAUUAUAAAAAAAUAUAAUUAUUAUGGAAACAAAGGA